UUUUGAGGUCUUGCUCUUUAGCA
rnacentral:piRNA from 1 species